rnacentral:rRNA from 1 species
GAACGCUGGCGGCGCGCUUAACACAUGCAAGUCGUGCGGUACCGAUGGCAAGUCUUCUUGACGAGCCUUCGGUAUAGCGGCGGACGGGUGAGUAACACGUGAGUAGCUGUCCUAGGGAGGGGGAUAACGCCUGGAAACGGGUGCUAAAACCCCAUAAGCCUCGAAAGAGGUAAAAGUGCAUCACUGCAGUCCUAGGGUGUGCUCGCGGCCUAUCAGCUAGUUGGUGAGGUAAGGGCUCACCAAGGCCAAGACGGGUAGCCGGCCUGAGAGGGUGUACGGCCACACUGGAAUUGAGAUACGGUCCAGACUCCUACGGGAGGCAGCAGUGGGGAAUUUUGGGCAAUGGGCGAAAGCCUGACCCAGCGACGCCGCGUUGGGGAUGAAGUCCUUCGGGGCGUAAACCCAUGUUGUAGGGGAAGAAGAAAGUGACGGUACCCUACGAGAAAGCCCCGGCCAACUACGUG